rnacentral:rRNA from 1 species
GGGGUGAAGCCUGCGUGUUCAAUUUGGAGUCAACGCCUGACCCCUUACCCGGAGAGACAGCAGAAUGAAGGUCAAGCUGAAGACUUUACCAGACAAGCUGAGAGGUGGUGCAUGGCCGUCGCCAGCUCGUGCCGUGAGAUGUCCUGUUAAGUCAGGUAACGAGCGAGAUCCCUGCCUCUAGUUGCCACUAUUACACCCUGGUGUAGUAGGGCGAAUUAGGGGGACCGCCGCAGUUAAUGCGGAGGAAGGAAGGGGCCACGGCAGGUCAGUAUGCCCCGAAACUCUGGGGCCACACGCGGGCUGCAAUGGUAACGACAAUGAGUUCCAAAAUCGAAAGAUAGAGGUAAUCCCUAAACGUUACCACAGUUGUGAUUGAGGGCUGCAACUCGCCCUCAUGAACAUGGAAUCCCUAGUAACCGCGUGUCAUUAUCGCGCAGUGAAUACGUCCCUGCUCCUUGCACACACCGCCCGUCGUUUCAUUGAAGUUUGCCUUUAGCGAGGUGAUGUCUAAUUGGCAUUAUCGAACUUGGGGUAAGUGACAAGGGAAAAGUCGUAACAAGGUGACCGUAGGGGAACCUGCGGUCG